GACGAACGCUGGCGGCAGGCCUAACACAUGCAAGUCGAGCGGACCUUUCGGGGUCAGCGGCGGACGGGUGCGUAACGCGUGGGAAUAUGCCCUUCUCUACGGAAUAGUCCUGGGAAACUGGGGGUAAUACCGUAUACGCCCUUUGGGGGAAAGAUUUAUCGGGGAAGGAUUAGCCCGCGUUGGAUUAGGUAGUUGGUGGGGUAAUGGCCUACCAAGCCGACGAUCCAUAGCUGGUUUGAGAGGAUGAUCAGCCACACUGGGACUGAGACACGGCCCAGACUCCUACGGGAGGCAGCAGUGGGGAAUCUUAGACAAUGGGGGCAACCCUGAUCUAGCCAUGCCGCGUGAGUGAUGAAGGCCUUAGGGUUGUAAAGCUCUUUCAGCUGGGAAGAUAAUGACGGUACCAGCAGAAGAAGCCCCGGCUAACUCCGUG
rnacentral:rRNA from 1 species